GACGAACGCUGGCGGCGUGCUUAACACAUGCAAGUCGAACGGAAAGGCCUGCUUUCCCUUGUGGAUUGCGGGUACUCGAGUGGCGAACGGGUGAGUAACACGUGAGUGAUCUGCCCCCAACUUGGGUAUAAGCCUGGGAAACUGGGUCUAAUUCCCGAUAGGACUGCAGGGUGGUGCCUGUGUUGGAAAACGAUUUUCUAGUGGUUGGGGAUGAGCUCGCGGCCUAUCAGCUUGUUGGUGGGGUAAUGGCCUACCAAGGCGGCGACGGGUAGCCGGCCUGAGAGGGUGGACGGCCACAUUGGGACUGAGAUACGGCCCAGACUCCUACGGGAGGCAGCAGUGGGGAAUAUUGCACAAUGGGCGGAAGCCUGAUGCAGCGACGCCGCGUGGGGGAUGACGGCCUUCGGGUUGUAAACUCCUUUCGACCGCGAGGAAGCCACCUGGUUGGAAGGGUGGUGACGGUAGUGGUAGAAGAAGCACCGGCUAACUACGUG
rnacentral:rRNA from 1 species